rnacentral:rRNA from 1 species
AACAUGCGACCCCAGGUCAGGCGGGACUAAACCACAAC